GACGGAGGAUGCAAGCGUUAUCCGGAAUGAUUGGGCGUAAAGCGUCCGCAGGUGGCAGUUCAAGUCUGCUGUCAAAGACCGGGGCUUAACUUCGGAAAGGCAGUGGAAACUGAACAGCUAGAGUAUGGUAGGGGCAGAGGGAAUUCCUGGUGUAGCGGUGAAAUGCGUAGAUAUCAGGAAGAACAUCGGUGGCGAAGGCGCCCUGCUGGACCAUAACUGACACUCAGGGACGAAGGCUAGGGGAGCGAAUGGG
rnacentral:rRNA from 1 species